rnacentral:rRNA from 1 species
UCCUACGGGGGGCAGCAGUGGGGAAUAUUGCGCAAUGGGCGGAAGCCUGACGCAGCGACGCCGCGUGGGGGAUGAAGGCCUUCGGGUUGUAAACCUCUUUCAGCAGGGAAGAAGCGUGAGUGACGGUACCUGCAGAAGAAGCACCGGCUAACUACGUGCCAGCAGCCGCGGUAAUACGUAGGGUGCAAGCGUUGUCCGGAAUUAUUGGGCGUAAAGAGCUCGUAGGCGGUUUGUCGCGUCUGCUGUGAAAACUCGGGGCUUAACUCCGGGCCUGCAGUGGGUACGGGCAGACUAGAGUGCGGUAGGGGAGACUGGAAUUCCUGGUGUAGCGGUGAAAUGCGCAGAUAUCAGGAGGAACACCGGUGGCGAAGGCGGGUCUCUGGGCCGUAACUGACGCUGAGGAGCGAAAGCGUGGGGAGCGAACAGGAUUAGAUACCCCGGUAGUCCG